rnacentral:rRNA from 1 species
UGGGGAAUAUUGGACAAUGGGCGCAAGCCUGAUCCAGCCAUGCCGCGUGUGUGAAGAAGGCCUUUUGGUUGUAAAGCACUUUAAGCGAGGAGGAGGCUACUUGGAUUAAUACUCUAGGAUAGUGGACGUUACUCGCAGAAUAAGCACCGGCUAACUCUGUGCCAGCAGCCGCGGUAAUACAGAGGGUGCGAGCGUUAAUCGGAUUUACUGGGCGUAAAGCGUGCGUAGGCGGCUUCUUAAGUCGGAUGUGAAAUCCCUGAGCUUAACUUAGGAAUUGCAUUCGAUACUGGGAAGCUAGAGUAUGGUAGAGGAUGGUAGAAUUCCAGGUGUAGCGGUGAAAUGCGUAGAGAUCUGGAGGAAUACCGAUGGCGAAGGCAGCCAUCUGGCCUAAUACUGACGCUGAGGUACGAAAGCAUGGGGAGCAAACAGG